rnacentral:lncRNA from 1 species
AGGGUGUUGUCCAGGAUCACGCCAAGGUUCUUAGCACUCUGGGAGGAGGACACAAGGGAGUUGUCAACCGUGAUGGCGAGAUCAUGUUUUGAUUUAUUUAUAUGCACAAUGUUUUUUGAUGUCAUACAUUUUUGCAAGCAUAUCUGAUUUGCAGUACACACAAUAUGCCAGACAAUCAUCCCCAAUUACUGGCUUCAGCCACCCUUUAAAUUCAGGUACAGACUCCCACUCUUUUCUGUACUUCUGGCUGUACAAUUUUGAUUGAGACAUGUUGAUUGAUGUUGUAAGUUCUGUUCAAGAUCAAACAUUUGUGACCAACUAUAUUCAUUGGGUUUGUCUCGUCGAACCCGUACUACUGCUGCUGCAGUCAGCCAACAAUGAUUUGCAAUUUGCGGAAAUUGCUACUGGCCUACUGCUGCCUGUGCACGAGCUGAGCGCCUGCUGCUUACAUCACUCACAAUACACUUUUGCAGCCAGGGUUACUCUCUUUUCAGAAUCUGUGGAUGGAACCUGUGUUGCCCCUGGCAAAUAUCUCAGUGAUUGAUAGCUCCCUCUCGCAGGGGGGUCGACCUCGGUAACGGAUGUAGCGAGCUUUACGAGCCUCGGCCAGCGAUUGGUUGAAAUCAGGCAGGAGGUGGAGCGUUCUGGGCCGACCAUCAGCAGCGAGGAAGUCGGAGGGGGGAGGAGGGAGAGGAUAAGACUCCUCUUUCUCUCUGUCUCUCUCUGUCCUCCCAUUCUCUUCCUCCUUCUUUCGCGUUGCCCUCCACUCUCUCCCCCUCACAUCUUCUCUCUCCCUCUCAGCUCUCCCCUCCCUCCCUUCCGCUUCCCCUUUCUCCCUCAGCCCAGUGCUGGUCAAUUCUGCUGCAGGCUGCAGUUUGAGGUCUGGCAGGCAGAGUGGCGCCACUGAGCUCUCUGCCCCGUGUCUCUGUGGGUCUGCAGAGCUGCAGAGGAAGUCAUGGACCCGAGCCUGGAGUGCAGCCAGACCAGACACUCCCCCACACACAGCUUUCACUGACCUGAGACAAUGAGGGGGGGAGACAGAGUGCGAGAGAGGGAGAGAGAGAGAAAUAGAGAUAAUCAGUCAGACAACACACGACUGCAUACACAUGUACGCACGCACACACACAACAAACUAUCAGUAUCCACCUUGUGUCACCAUGUUGUGACUCAGUGUCUGUUUAUUGGCUAUAACAAAUGUUUUUGGACAACAAAACAAUCAUACCCAGACACACACAUAAACAAACAAGGGGCCAGCUUUGUGGAUUCAGUAAAAUGCUGCAUUGAACAACAGAGAAAGAGAUAGCGGGAGGGAGAAAUAAAUAAAUGGAACCAGGAAGGGGACUAUAAAUCCACUAGAAGUUGGCAGAGGGAUGCACAUCAUAAAAGAAAAUGAGUUUAGAAUCAGUCUGUUAAAAGAGCCAGCAUGGAUCUCUGCCAAGCCACAGCACAGAGAAAAACAGAGACACACACACACAUCAGUGGAGAAGCAGAAUCUGUAUGUAGAGUAGUAUAGAACAGUGUUUGUAAACCACCCACAUACACUAGUUAACAGUAAGAGAGGGGAAAGCCCAGCAGCCUACCAGUUAGAGAGAGGAGAAGGGGGUAUGAAGCAGUAGAAUAUGCAUAGAUAUGGGAUAUGAGCUAUAAUUGUGAAUGUCUCUCAAACGCACACAUACUAAUUUCUCUCUCUCUCAAGAGGAUGACAGUCAAACCCACAGUGACAGAAAGCUCUGUUUGUGUGUAUCUCAGAGUGAGGUUUUAAGCGUCUCGUUAUCUGUCCCCUUGAUUAGCAUAAUUAGCCAGUCCGAAUCCCCAUCCUCCAAUUUAUCUCUGAUGUGAAGAGCUCACCUGUGUUUCUUUGGGUCUCUGGUGGCCCGUGGGAUUGUGGGUAGGGUAGUCCUGCAGGGCAUGAAGAGAUGGGAGGGGUCAGGGUUGACAGGUCGCGACACCAUAGGGUGAAGGCUCCUCCUCCAAGGGUUACCUGGGGUCACACAGAUACUGGUCAGCUCACGCACGCACACACGCGCACACACGCACGCACACACACACAAGCAUCUCUCUCACCGGUCCUGAUGUUGAGCAGGUCUCUGUGUAAUCUUCGUUGUUCUGUGGUGAGUGUGUUGAGGUGGUAGCUCGUGGCCUGCUCCAGUCUCUGUAAUCCCCCCUGCAGGCGAGCCUGAGCUCUGUGCUCCUCUCUCCUUUGGGCCUCACUGCCCUGGCACAGCCCCCUGCCACCACCACCACCACGACGCAUGGCUCUCUCACACCUCCUGACAUACAUAAAUACAUAGAGUUAGAUACUGUCUGUUACUGUACAACUGAAAGAUCGGAUCACCUGGGUGACAACCUGCAUCCCCACAUCUGUCAGUCCAACAAAUGAGCCAUUACACUGAGAGGUUGAAGGUGUUAAUUUAGGAUUUUUUUGGUACGAUGUUUACAUUUUUUGUAAGACUUUUUCUUUGCGUUAUAUCUUGCCCAGACCCACCUGGCCAGACCCACAUGCUCACACCCCCAUCUCCAGCAUCACUCUCCGCCACAUGGCCUCAAACUGCACUAUUUUGUUUCUCUCCGUCACCAAUGCACCUUCAACAUUUAAAUAAUAAAGCAUUUGACCUUUCCAUUGUGUUAAUGACGGAGGAAAGUACACAUUUUUUCAAGAUGAUUGACAAGACAAGUAUCAUCCAACCCAUAGGGUAUCUAACUGCACCCUCAUAUGCCAUGUCUUGAAAUAUGCAGACAGACGGAUUAAAAGUACAUUUAGAUUGUAAUACUUAUGACAGCCAACAUACUAACUCCGCC